rnacentral:misc_RNA from 1 species
UGAUUUUCUCGCAUUAGCCAUCACAGAGGAUGUCCUACAUGAACUUCCAACAACUUCUUUUCCAUUUGAGGAAGUGAAAGAAGGCCUGAGAGGUCUUGGUUUCUCUGUACUUCUAACUUGCGGGCUCUUCAUAGAGCUGAGCCGGCUGCUGCAUCCAUAUCGAGAGCACAACUGAACAUUUUCAUCCCUGCUGUCAGCUAUGUCCCUCAAACCUCUUCUGGGAACGUAAAGGCCAUUAACAGCUCUUUUGCUUGAAUAUUCAUCCAUAGAUUACAUACAACCUCUUAGUUUUUAUUUGUUCCUCUUCCUUGUUCUUGUUCUUCUCUUCUUCUUUACACAAAAAGAAAAAGAAAAUACAAAGAAACAAAUGAGGAAAAAAAGUAGUCUUUUUAGAGAGAGAGAGAGAUAAGGGGAGAGAGAGAAACGUGUAAAUUAUGUAAAGAUGGGAAGGUGAAAG